rnacentral:rRNA from 1 species
GGUUAAGCGACUAAGCGUACACGGUGGAUGCCUAGGCAAUCAGAGGCGAUGAAGGACGUGCUAAUCUGCGAAAAGCGUCGGUAAGGUGAUAUGAACCGCUAUAACCGACGAUGUCCGAAUGGGGAAACCCAGUGCAAUUCGUUGCACUAUCGUUUGAUGAAUCCAUAGUCAAACGAGGCGAACCGAGGGAACUGAAACAUCUCAGUACCUCGAGGAAAAGAAAUCAACCGAGAUUCCCCUAGUAGCGGCGAGCGAACGGGGAGCAGCCCAGAGUCUUAAUCAGCGUCAGCAUCAGGAGAACGGUCUGGAAAGUCCGGCAGUAAAGGGUGAUAGCCCCGUAUCCGAAGGUGUUGGUGUUGUGAACUCGACGAGUAGGGCGGGACACGUGUUAUCCUGUCUGAAUAUGGGGGGACCAUCCUCCAAGGCUAAAUACUCCUGAUUGACCGAUAGUGAACCAGUACCGUGAGGGAAAGGCGAAAAGAACCCCGGCGAGGGGAGUGAAAUAGAACCUGAAACCGUGUACGUACAAGCAGUGGGAGCACCUUUUAGGUGUGACUGCGUACCUUUUGUAUAAUGGGUCAGCGACUUAUAUUCUGUAGCAAGGUUAACCGUAUAGGGGAGCCGUAGGGAAACCGAGUCUUAACUGGGCGAUUAAGUUGCAGGGUAUAGACCCGAAACCCGGUGAUCUAGCCAUGGGCAGGUUGAAGGUUGGGUAACACUAACUGGAGGACCGAACCGACUAAUGUUGAAAAAUUAGCGGAUGACUUGUGGCUGGGGGUGAAAGGCCAAUCAAACCGGGAGAUAGCUGGUUCUCCCCGAAAGCUAUUUAGGUAGCGCCUCGUGAACUCAUCUUCGGGGGUAGAGCACUGUUUCGGCUAGGGGGUCAUCCCGACUUACCAACCCGAUGCAAACUACGAAUACCGAAGAAUGUUAUCACGGGAGACACACGGCGGGUGCUAACGUUCGUCGUGAAGAGGGAAACAACCCAGACCGCCAGCUAAGGUCCCAAAGUCAUGGUUAAGUGGGAAACGAAGUGGGAAGGCUCAGACAGCCAGGAUGUUGGCUUAGAAGCAGCCAUCAUUUAAAGAAAGCGUAAUAGCUCACUGGUCGAGUCGGCCUGCGCGGAAGAUGUAACGGGGCUAAACCAUGCACCGAAGCUGCGGCAGCGACAUUUAGAUGUUGUUGGGUAGGGGAGCGUUCUGUAAGCCUGUGAAGGUGUGCUGUGAGGCAUGCUGGAGGUAUCAGAAGUGCGAAUGCUGACAUAAGUAACGAUAAUGCGGGUGAAAAACCCGCACGCCGGAAGACCAAGGGUUCCUGUCCAACGUUAAUCGGGGCAGGGUGAGUCGACCCCUAAGGCGAGGCAGAAAUGCGUAGUCGAUGGGAAACAGGUUAAUAUUCCUGUACUGGUGAUAAUUGCGAUGGGGGGACGGAGAAGGCUAGGCUGGCCGGGCGACGGUUGUCCCGGUUUAAGGAUGUAGGCAGGUGAAUUAGGCAAAUCCGGUUCACUAUAUGCUGAGGUCUGAUGACGAGUCACUACGGUGGCGAAGUAGCUCAUGCCCCGCUUCCAGGAAAAGCCUCUAAGCUCUAGAUUAUCAUUAAUCGUACCCCAAACCGACACAGGUGGUCAGGUAGAGAAUACUCAGGCGCUUGAGAGAACUCGGGUGAAGGAACUAGGCAAAAUGGUGCCGUAACUUCGGGAGAAGGCACGCUGGCGCUAGGUGAAGUCCCUUGCGGAUGGAGCUGAAGCCAGUCGCAGAUACCAGCUGGCUGCAACUGUUUAUUAAAAACACAGCACUGUGCAAACACGAAAGUGGACGUAUACGGUGUGACGCCUGCCCGGUGCUGGAAGGUUAAUUGAUGGGGUUAUCCGUAAGGAGAAGCUCUUGAUCGAAGCCCCAGUAAACGGCGGCCGUAACUAUAACGGUCCUAAGGUAGCGAAAUUCCUUGUCGGGUAAGUUCCGACCUGCACGAAUGGCGUAAUGAUGGCCAGGCUGUCUCCACCCGAGACUCAGUGAAAUUGAACUCGCUGUGAAGAUGCAGUGUACCCGCGGCAAGACGGAAAGACCCCGUGAACCUUUACUAUAGCUUGACACUGAACAUUGAGCCUUGAUGUGUAGGAUAGGUGGGAGGCUUUGAAGUGUGGACGCCAGUCUGCAUGGAGCCAACCUUGAAAUACCACCCUUUAAUGUUUGAUGUUCUAACGUGGCCCCAUCAUCUGGGGUGCGGACAGUGUCUGGUGGGUAGUUUGACUGGGGCGGUCUCCUCCCAAAGAGUAACGGAGGAGCACGAAGGUUGGCUAAGCAUGGUCGGACAUCAUGCGGUUAGUGCAAAGGCAUAAGCCAGCUUGACUGCGAGAGUGACGGCUCGAGCAGGUACGAAAGUAGGUCUUAGUGAUCCGGUGGUUCUGAAUGGAAGGGCCAUCGCUCAACGGAUAAAAGGUACUCCGGGGAUAACAGGCUGAUACCGCCCAAGAGUUCAUAUCGACGGCGGUGUUUGGCACCUCGAUGUCGGCUCAUCACAUCCUGGGGCUGAAGUAGGUCCCAAGGGUAUGGCUGUUCGCCAUUUAAAGUGGUACGCGAGCUGGGUUUAGAACGUCGUGAGACAGUUCGGUCCCUAUCUGCCGUGGGCGUUGGAAGAUUGAAAGGGGCUGCUCCUAGUACGAGAGGACCGGAGUGGACGCACCACUGGUGUUCGGGUUGUCAUGCCAAUGGCACUGCCCGGUAGCUAAGUGCGGAAGAGAUAACCGCUGAAAGCAUCUAAGCGGGAAACUUGCCUUGAGAUGAGUCUUCCCUGACUCUUUAAGGGUCCUAAAGGAACGUUUAAGACUAAGACGUUGAUAGGCUGGGUGUGUAAGCGUAGCGAUACGUUGAGCUAACCAGUACUAAUGAACCGUGAGGCUUAACCUG